rnacentral:rRNA from 1 species
CAUAACGACUCUCGGCAACGGAUAUCUCGGCUCUCGCAUCGAUGAAGAACGUAGCGAAAUGCGAUACUUGGUGUGAAUUGCAGAAUCCCGUGAACCAUCGAGUCUUUGAACGCAAGUUGCGCCCGAAGCCUUUCGGCCGAGGGCACGCCUGCCUGGGCGUC